UUGCCUCAGUAACGGCGAAGUGAAGCGGCAACAGCUCAAAUUUGAAAUCUGGCCCUUUCAGGGACUGAGUUGUAAUUUGUAGAGGAUGUUUCGGGUGUGGCUCCGGUCUAAGUUCCUUGGAACAGGACGUCAUAGAGGGUGAGAAUCCCGUAUGUGACUGGUAGCCUACGCCCAUGUGAAACUCCUUCGACGAGUCGAGUUGUUUGGGAAUGCAGCUCAAAAUGGGUGGUAAAGUUUCAUCUAAAGCUAAAUAUUGGCCAGAGACCGAUAGCGCACAAGUAGAGUGAUCGAAAGAUGAAAAGCACUUUGGAAAGAGAGUUAAACAGUACGUGAAAUUGUUGAAAGGGAAGCGCUUGCAACCCAGACUUGCAUGUAGCUGAUCAACCGGUGUUCUCACCGGUGCACUCAGUUGCGUUCAGGCCAGCAUCGGUUUCGACGGUUGGAUAAAGGCCCUGGGAAUGUAGCUCCUCUCGGGGAGUGUUAUAGCCCAGGGUGCAAUGCAGCCUGUUGGGACCGAGGACCGCGCUUCGGCUAGGAUGCUGGCGUAAUGGUUGUAAGCGACCCGUCUUGAAACACGGACCAAGGAGUCUAACAUCUAUGCGAGUGUUUGGGUGUCAAACCCAUACGCGUAAUGAAAGUGAACGGAGGUGAGAACCCUUAAGGGUGCAUCAUCGACCGAUCCUGAUGUCUUCGGAUGGAUUUGAGUAAGAGCAUAGCUGUUGGGACCCGAAAGAUGGUGAACUAUGCCUGAAUAGGGUGAAGCCAGAGGAAACUCUGGUGGAGGCUCGCAGCGGUUCUGACGUGCAAAUCGAUCGUCAAAUUUGGGGUAUAGGGGGCGAAAGACUAAUCGAACCAUUGACCCGUGUGUCACCGGCGGACGGGAGCGCGUCUCCCGCCCGCCGUCGGAUAUUACUAGGUGGUUAAGAAGGCGCAGUCAAGCUGCGCCUAGUCCUGUGUAAGGGGCGAAACCUCCAAAUUGCGGGGACACCCUAAAGCCCCGGAAACCCCCAAGCUGCCCUCGAAAGUCGGCAGUGGCCGCAGCUUAAUCACUGCGGGUAUGGGAACAGCGUCCGGGGGAUAAAUAGUAUGGGCGAAUCCGCAGCCAAGCUCCUCUCGGGCGACCGACUGUGAGAAGGUUCAUCGACUAGACGGUGGUUGGUCAUCUGGGGCGGUGCCCCAGACGGCUUAAGGUAUAGUCAGGCCUGCAGGAGACUGCAGCGGGACGACGAAGGACUGGCGUUACACCGCACGACCCGUGC
rnacentral:rRNA from 1 species